rnacentral:lncRNA from 1 species
GACAGCUGAAAAUAUGCAGGAAGCUACACAGUUUUAAACAAUUCUUUUGGGGGUUAUGUAAGCAACAUACUUACAGAUUCCUGGGCUAAGAUAAUGCAUUUCAAGAAAAGAAGGCCCUCUCUUUGCAUCUCUUUGGUCUCUUUUCUUCUUGGAAGCCAAUGGCUAAUGACAGAUUUCCACUGUCACACAGCCAUGAGCACAUCAGGAGGACUCAAGAAUCAUAUAAAGCUGCAACUGCUUCUUGCAACUUUUCUCCCUGCGGUUUACAAACCCCACUCCUCGGGUUCCACAGACCCUCCCUCCGGCUCACUGACGGAGUCCGGGACUCUUGGGAGAUGAUGACAAUCAGCUGUCGUGGUUUAGACGGCUCCAUGUCUCAAAUCUCAAGCCCUCACCUCACUCUUAACUCCAGACCUACAUUUCCAACUCUUCACUGAGCAUAUUCUGUUUGAAAACCCACUGUAAAGUCAAACUCAAGAUGUCAGAGAUGGAAUUGCUAUCUCUUCCCUUUAAUAUUUGCUGCAUGGGUUGUCUACCUGCUUAAGCUUCCUGUGGUGCUAUUUUGAUCCUUUCACACUUACUUGCUCAAAAGCCUUUGGUGGGGGGUGCCUGGGUGACUCAGUUGGUUGAGUGUCCAACUUCGGCUCAGGUCAUGGUCUUGUGGUUUUGGGGUUUGAUCCCCACGACAGGCUCUAUGCUGACAGCUCAGAGCCUGGACCCUGCUUCAGAUUCUGUGUUUCCCUCUCUCUCUGCCCUUCCCCUGCACAUGCUCUGUCUCUCUCCUUCUCUCUCUCUCUCUCAAAAAUAAAUAAACAUUUAAAAAAAAAGCCUUCA